rnacentral:rRNA from 1 species
AAACUAGGGGUGCUUCCAUCUGGAAGAAUCUGGAGACAGGUGCUGCAUGGCUGUCGUCAGCUCGUGUCGUGAGAUGUUGGGUUAAGUCCCGCAACGAGCGCAACCCUUGCCUUUAGUUGCCAGCAGUUCGGCUGGGCACUCUAAAGGGACUGCCGGGUGUUAAACCGGAGGAAGGUGGGGAGUGACGUCAAGUCCUCAUGGCCUUUAUGACCAGGGCUACACACGUACUACAAUGGCCGAUACAAAGGGCAGCGACACUGCGAGGUGAAGCCAAUCCCGUAAAAUCGGUCUCAGUCCGGAUUGGAGUCUGCAACUCGACUCCAUGAAGUUGGAAUCGCUAGUAAUCGUGGAUCAGCAUGCCACGGUGAAUACGUUCCCGGGCCUU